GGUUCGUUGGUCUAGGGGUAUGAUUCUCGCUUAGGGUGCGAGAGGUCCUGGGUUCAAAUCCCGGAACGAACCC